rnacentral:ribozyme from 1 species
UGAUAUUCCUAUUAUUUCUCUCUCUCUCUCUCCUUUUUUUCUCUCUCUCUUCUCGAAGAAUCGUUGUAAAUAUUCUAAUAAAUUAGCUACUGUGGUAAAGGUCUUAAUAAGUACAUUAAAGAUAGAAACAGGUAGAUAAAUUAUUUUUCUCUUAUUCUGUGGAGUUUUUAAAGUAUCAAAUAUA